CCUACGGGAGGCAGCAGUGAGGAAUAUUGGUCAAUGGCCGAGAGUCUGAACCAGCCAAGUCGCGUGAAGGAAGACUGCCCUACGGGUUGUAAACCUCUUUUGUCUGGGAACAAAGUGUGUCACGUGUGGGCUUUUGUGUGUACCAUAUGAAUAAGCAUCGGCUAACUCCGUGCCAGCAGCCGCGGUAAUACGGAGGAUGCGAGCGUUAUCCGGAUUUAUUGGGUUUAAAGGGUGCGUAGGUGGGUUGUUAAGUCAGUGGUGAAAGUCUGCGGCUCAACCGCAGGAGUGCAGUUGAAACUGGCGGUCUAGAGUACGGUAGAGGUGGGCGGAAUGCGUGGUGUAGCGGUGAAAUGCUUAGAUAUCACGAAGAACUCCGAUUGCGAAGGCAGCUUACUGGACCGCAACUGACACUGAGGCACGAAAGCGUGGGUAUCGAACAGGAUUAGAUACCCGUGUAGUC
rnacentral:rRNA from 1 species